GCUGGCGGCGUGCCUAACACAUGCAAGCCUUGCGAUUCUCUUCGGAGAAGAGCGGCGGACGGGUGAGUAACGCGUGGGUAACCUGCCCUGUACACACGGAUAACAUACCGAAAGGUAUGCUAAUACGAGAUAAUAUGCUUUUAUCGCAUGGUAGAAGUAUCAAAGCUUUUGCGGUACAGGAUGGACCCGCGUCUGAUUAGCUAGUUGGUAAGGUAACGGCUUACCAAGGCGACGAUCAGUAGCCGACCUGAGAGGGUGAUCGGCCACAUUGGAACUGAGACACGGUCCAAACUCCUACGGGAGGCAGCAGUGGGGAAUAUUGCACAAUGGGCGAAAGCCUGAUGCAGCAACGCUGCGUGAGCGAUGAAGGCCUUCGGGUCGUAAAGCUCUGUCCUCAAGGAAGAUAAUGACGGUACUUGAGGAGGAAGCCCCGGCUAACUACGUGCCAGCAGCCGCGGUAAUACGUAGGGGGCUAGCGUUAUCCGGAAUUACUGGGCGUAAAGGGUGCGUAGGUGGUUUCUUAAGUCAGAGGUGAAAGGCUACGGCUCAACCGUAGUAAGCCUUUGAAACUGGGAAACUUGAGUGCAGGCGAGGAGAGUGGAAUUCCUAGUGUAGCGGUGAAAUGCGUAGAUAUUAGGAGGAACACCAGUUGCGAAGGCGGCUCUCUGGAC
rnacentral:rRNA from 1 species